rnacentral:lncRNA from 1 species
AUGUGGAGCCCAGAAUUCCGCUGGCGUGACAACGGAAUGUUGCAACAGCAACACACAACCUCUGCCAGAAUCCCCCAAAGCCAGGGUGGAUACCAUCCAGCUCCUUGUGGAAGUGUUCUGAAGACAUUAAUUGUCUGUCAGGACCAAACAGAAAAGUAUCCAGGAUUUCGAAUCUUGGAUUUAGAAGACCUCAGGCCAGCAACAAUGUCGGCACCAGCUCUCCAAUGUGAAGCCAGGAGCCCCUCCUCAUCACCGGAAUGCACACCCUACCACACCUCCAGGGACAUCAGAUACAUCUUCCUCAAAAGCUGCAGGAACAUCCCUGCAUUCCGCACCCUGGACGGUGCAGGCGCCAGCAAUGUCUACCAAGGACCCACGUCCUGCCACCCCACGUUACAGCACUACCUCAGCACGGAUGAAGACUCCUAUUCCUCUCUUCCUCAGCACCUCCCCACCUUUGUCACCUUCUCCAUGCGCCUGGAGAAGGAAGCCACGGAUUUGAGACGCUCCCCUGGCUCCAAGAAAAGGCUGCCGGUGUUCCGCCAGCUGUGCGGAGAGGCCGUGGAGGAGCUGGAGGAGCUGCCCGGUGCCAAAGCACCCAGGGAGAACACGAAAGGCUGGAGGCUCACACAGGCAGCUGGGUGCUCCACCUGCAGCAAGGCAUGAACUGACUCUGAGAUACUGUCUGGAAAAAUACAACAUUAAUGGUGUCCUUACAUUACCAGGGGGUCAGUGGAGACGUGGUGUGAGCUCGGCUUCACUGACAGCCAAGGGCUGGGAAAACGGGAUGGAAAGGGACAAAAUUGUCUACUUGGGAUAUUCCUUCCACUCUUCUGGGUGCCAUGGGAGACUGCCAGCCAAAUACA